rnacentral:rRNA from 1 species
CCUACGGGCUGCACCAGUAGGGAAUCUUCGGCAAUGGACGAAAGUCUGACCGAGCAACGCCGCGUGAGUGAAGAAGGUUUUCGGAUCGUAAAACUCUGUUGUUAGAGAAGAACAAGUAGGAGAGUAACUGCUCUUACCUUGACGGUAUCUAACCAGAAAGCCACGGCUAACUACGUGCCAGCAGCCGCGGUAAUACGUAGGUGGCAAGCGUUGUCCGGAUUUAUUGGGCGUAAAGCGAGCGCAGGCGGUCUUUUAAGUCUGAUGUGAAAGCCCUCGGCUCAACCGAGGAAGGUCAUUGGAAACUGGAGGACUUGAGUGCAGAAGAGGAGAGUGGAAUCCCAUGUGUAGCGGUGAAAUGCGUAGAUAUAUGGAGGAACACCAGUGGUGAAGGCGACUCUCUGGUCUGUAACUGACGCUGAGGCUCGAAAGCGUGGGGAGCAAACAGGAUUAGAUACCCGGGUAGUC